AACUUUUGGCAAUGGAUCUCUUGGCUCUCGCAUCGAUGAAGAACGCAGCGAAAUGGGAUAAGUAAUGUGAAUUGUAGAAUUCAGUGAAUCAUCGAAUCUUUGAACGCACCUUGCGCUCCUUGGUAUUCCGAGGAGCAUGCCUGUUCGAGUGUCAUGAAGCUAUCAACUCACUUCUUUUGUUAGAAGUGCAGCUUGGAAUUGGAGCCUUGUUGGCGUCUCGUCACGUCGACUGCUCUGAAAUGCAUUAGCUCGAUUUACUCUGCGGCUGCUUCAGUGUAGUAAUCUCUUCACUGCGAUGCAAUCGCUCAGUUAAAGGAGCUCAUAAAGCACCCACUUCAUUUCAACUUUUGACCUCGAAUCAGGUAGGACUACCCGCUGAACUUAAGCAUAUCAAUAAGCGGAGGCU
rnacentral:misc_RNA from 1 species